rnacentral:rRNA from 1 species
UCUUCGGAUGCUGACGAGUGGCGAACGGGUGAGAGGAGGGAAACGUGCCUAGUAGUGGGGGAUAACUACUCGAAAGAGUAGCUAAUACCGCAUGAGAUCUACGGAUGAAAGCAGGGGAUCGCAAGACCUUGUGCUACUAGAGCGGCUGAUGGCAGAUUAGGUAGUUGGUGGGAUAAAAGCUUACCAAGCCGACGAUCUGUAGCUGGUCUGAGAGGACGAUCAGCCACACUGGGACUGAGACACGGCCCAGACUCCUACGGGAGGCAGCAGUGGGGAAUUUUGGACAAUGGGCGAAAGCCUGAUCCAGCAAUGCCGCGUGCAGGAUGAAGGCCUUCGGGUUGUAAACUGCUUUUGUACGGAACGAAAAGCUUUGGGUUAAUACCCUGGAGUCAUGACGGUACCGUAAGAAUAAGCACCGGCUAACUACGUGCCAGCAGCCGCGGUAAUACGUAGGGUGCAAGCGUUAAUCGGAAUUACUGGGCGUAAAGCGUGCGCAGGCGGUUUUGUAAGACAGAGGUGAAAUCCCCGGGCUCAACCUGGGAACUGCCUUUGUGACUGC